AGAUCACCUCACUGUAAAGGGGCGUGAACUGCUGAAGAAAAGUAUAAAUAAAGGACACAGCAUAUCUGCAUUAUAUAUAAACGAGUUAAAUCCUCUUCAGCAUUAUACCAUUCUGCUCUUAACCUUAAAGCAAUCAUCACCAUGAUCUUACUAAAGGGGAGUGAUGAAGACGAGGACGAUGACUAUGAAGAUGAUAAUGGAGGUGCAGGAGUAUGUGUCUGCUGCCAAGGGUAGACAACCGCUCCACACCCAGAUGCAGCCAGUGUUGAGAAAGACCCAAUAGACACGCUGGAUCCAUGAACUGUGUUGAUUUGUUGAUACAAACCAGCAGUCAAACACACAGUUCCUGUCGUGACAAAGGCAAUGCCGUCACGACCCAAAACACCUCCCCGCGCCAUACGUAUCAAUGGCGAAACCUGACUGUAGACCUUAAUGGAACAUUCCUCCAUGGAAACGAUGGAUCUCGCAACUUCCCUGCUGUACAGUGGCAGUAACAUCAGUUUUCUUCAGAAUGGCUCUGCUUUUGGGUCUGUUUGUGCAACCCUGAAGAAACCGUGGAGAGAAAACCAUGCUUUCAUCGAUACCUUGAUUUCGUCUUGAUUACUGCAAUGCCCUUUUCAUUAGACUACCUUACAGGACUUCUAAGUUGAAUUUAAAAAUUGACAUAAAUUUCAGAAUUUCUCACCAUUUAGAGUUUGGCAUGGUGCAUCUUGUGUGCUUCAGUGGAAACAAAGAAACCAGUUAACAUGGUCAAUGUCACAAAUUUGCUCACAUUGAUUAGUGACCUAGGCCACGUCCAUACGAAACAGUUUUCAGUUUCCUAACGUCAUUGUUUUCCAAAGUAUGUGUUUUCGAAAGACUCUGUUUUCAGUGCUGUUCCAAUGUGGAUGAGAGCUGUAAACAGAUAUCAAAAUGAAUGCAUUUCCAAACUAAAGCAUAUUAAUGUGGACGUGGCCCCAGAAAUAGUGCAGAAUCGUACAUAUUUCUUCUUCAUUUCACGUCAUUACUUUUCUUUUUUCUUUUUCUUUAAAUCCUAAAACUUCCUGUUUAUUUAUACAGGUAGUUGUAGUAUAUUUUUUAUUGAUCCAGGUACACUUUCCUUUCUAUUUCUCCUUUCACAAAUGAUCUUCAUUUUCUUAUUAUUAAGAAAUACACGUGGAGUGGUGAUAACCUGAUGGGAGCUGCUGGUCCAAAGGUGGGAAGAUUAUGAAAUCACAAAUUUCCUCAAUCACCAUUGUGCUCUUGAGCAAGGCACAUGCCUCCAAGUUAUUUCAGCAGGACUGACUGCUCCUGCAAAAGGUCUACUGUUGUCACUUUAGAAGCGUCCAUUAAAUGACAAACAAACAGAUAUGGGCUGGAUGGGCAUUUCAACUUGAAAUUAAUUUAAUGGAUGCGGUUUGCUCGAAUAUAUAUUGGGAGGUCAAUGUCCCUAUUCAAGCCCAGGUGUAUUUGUUGUAAAGAUAUUUUAAGACUAUGGCUGCCUGGUCCAUGUAACUCUCCAGUAUUACUAGCAGAAGGUUGCUGGAGCAGCAGAGAUCAGGGUUAGAGAUAAAAGACCACUGUUUUUCCUUUUAUCUCUAGACCUUUGAUGCCACAAUAACAGCACUCGGCCAUAGAGAGCAUGCUUAGAGCGAGAUGACAUGCUCACCAGGAUAGGAUCCACAUGCACAACUCUGUUCCAAAACCUAGUGAGCUGUCGCAUUUUAAUGUGCCAAACUAUUAGAAUCAAUUAUAAGUCGAGUCUCCUGUGCUAGGUUUUGCAACAGAUGCCAGUUCUGCAGGUUGUGCAUACAUAGUGGAAUCCGCCGGUUCUGAUAUCCUGCAAACACACAUUUACACCGACAUCACACACUGCUGUUAUCGCAGUGCUGUUGAACACAAGUUACACAGCGUAUGUAACGUACAUGUAAUGAGAUGAACUGACUCUCAUACUGAACACGGUCCGAAUCAAAGGACUUAGGACUAGCACAAAGUGAAGGCCAGCUGAUGUGUAAAUGUCAGAGGCCCUCAUUUCCUAUUGAGCUCUCAUUUUUGUUCUUGGUUAUGUGGCAUGGGGAUCGUUAGAAUGUCAUAACUGCAGAUUGAUGUCUGUGCAUUUGUCUGUAUGCCUCACUUUCUAAUGAGCUACACGGCAACUCCCUCCUAAAUAAAGUAUAUUGUGUGAAAA